UCCCCGUGGCGUGCAUCCAGCCGGAUAAGUCCGGCUCGUCCUCCGUGCUCUCGCCGACCUCAAUUUCCUCUGCUUCCAUCUCUUUGCCGCCGUGCUCGAACCCAAGGUCCUCCCCCAACACGUCCAUGUCCGUCUCCCCCGGUCUCCUCCGGGGACGUUGCCUGCCAAGGACCCCCCAGCCACUUCCUGCGCCACUGCUCCUCUGGUUGAUUGUCCCACCAAUAGGAACGGUCUGAGGCAGACCCCGAAGGUGAUCCCUCCGGGGAACGUGUUUCUAGUGCCGGUUCCUCGUCCGAGGUGAACCCCUGGAAUGUGCUAGCUGAAAAUGUGGGUGUGAAAAGCCAGUCGUCGAAAUACUCGGCUGGCAUGGGCCUGUGUGGGAAAAGGGCAUGGAACUCGUCCUUAAGCCAAGAUUCCUCCAGAGCAUAAUCUGGCACCCAACUGUUGGCGCUAGCCGGGGUACCUUCCUUGGCGAGGAGGUAUUCCACUCCCUCCUCCCCCCAUCUCGAGUCUAAAAUCUCUGUGACUUCGUUGACGGGUUCCCGCCUUGGCGACCCCCCCCUUGUGGGCGUUUCCCUGAACGGGUCUGGUGCCGUUCCUGGCUCCUGAAAUCUAUGAGGUGCUUUGUAGGGCGUGAGCACUGAUCUAUGGAAAACUGGGUGCAUUCUGGAUCCCUCCGGCAGUGUCAACCGGAAGGCCACUGGAUUGACC